rnacentral:rRNA from 1 species
UACGAAGGGGGCGAGCGUUGUUCGGAUUUACUGGGCGUAAAGGGCGCGCAGGCGGCUUUGUUUGUCAGGCGUGAAAGCCCCGGGCUUAACCUGGGAACUGCGUUUGAUACGGCAGGGCUAGAGUUCGGGAGAGGAGAGUGGAAUUCCCAGUGUAGAGGUGAAAUUCGUAGAUAUUGGGAAGAACACCGGUGGCGAAGGCGGCUCUCUGGACCGAGACUGACGCUGAGGUGCGAAAGCGUGGGGAGCAAACAGG